UGCUUCAAUUCUAUUCGAUUCAAUUCAAUUGCUCUCACUCUAUCCCUCUCUAAACAAUUUUCUCUCUCAUCCUAUACCCUCCACCUCUCCCCCAAAAUUUAAUUAAGCAUUAAAGCAAAUCCAUCUUCCUCUCCCUCCCCUUCACUUCUCUUUGUGCGUGUAUAUAUAAUGGUGUUUCGAGGUCCAUACACCACCUCCCCAACGACCAUGUUUUUGUUCCCUCAUCUUUUCAUGGUUUUUGCCUAACCCCCCAAAUUUCUCCCAACCCAAGAACAAGUUACCCAAUAUUCCCAUCCUCCUCCUCCCUUUUCACAAGCCCUCUCGACAAUCCCCAAGCCAAAGCCAUGAGUAGACGGAACGGAGGCGGUCCGAAGCUUGACCUGAAGCUAAACCUGUCACCACCGAGGGCUAAUCAUCAGCUGGCGGAGUCACCACGAAGAUCAGCGACUGUUUCACCUACGUCACCGCCGAGCUCAUGCGUGUCAUCGGAGCUGAAUCAAGACGACAAUUUUAGCCCAGAGACCAUUUCCAUGGUGCUAGUCGGGUGCCCUAGGUGCCUCAUGUAUGUGAUGCUCUCGGAGGACGACCCCAAAUGCCCUAAAUGCAAGAGCACUGUUUUGCUAGACUUUCUUCAUGACACCACUACCACCACACCAACCUCAAAGACAAGGAAGAGCUAAAAAAAAAGCUAAAAGCUAGAGUAGUCUAUCCGUUCAUUUCUUAUUUCUUUUUUUGGGUUUUUUUUUUUUUUUCCAAUUUUACUAGGACUUCAUGUUAGGCUCUGUUUAUUUCCAACCCUUUUUUUUUUCUCCUUCCUGGAGGCAGCGCUAUUGGCGCUCCAUAUAGCUACAUUUUUUUCGUUAUUAAAAAUAGCGGAAAAUAUUUGACCUAGACAAUGAUCAAUUCAUCCUUAAUUGGCUGGUUGAACCUUGUUAACUAGGUAUCUGAAAAUGAGUGGAGCGCGAAUAUCACUACCUAUGUUGUUUUAUCUUUUUUUAUUGACCUUGCUAAUCUUAGAAAUUAGGUUAUGGAUGAUGGGCAAUUGGGCUUGCACUAUGGGGUUUGGUAGGUGGGAUGAAAGGUGUUUGUUUCUGCCUUUGUUAACCCUUUAGCUGAAAGUCAAUGAUGUAAAACGGUUAACUGUAACUGCCCAACAUUUUCAUCUGAGAAAAAAAAAAGUUGGAUCAUAUUUUGUUAUUUUGCUAU